rnacentral:rRNA from 1 species
UACGUAGGUGGCAAGCGCUACUCGGAAUCACUAGGCGUAAAGCGCAGGUAGGCGGUUUGGUAAGUCUUUUGUGAAAGCUCCCGGCUCAACUGGGAGAGGUCAAGGGAAACUACCGGACUAGAGUGUGGUAGGGGAUACUGGAAUUCCUGGUGUAGCGGUGAAAUGCGUAGAUAUCAGGAGGAAUACCUAUGGCGAAAGCAGGUAUCUGGGCCAUCACUGACGCUGAGCUGCGAAAGCUAGGGGAGCAAACAGG